ensembl:lncRNA
CUCUUGUCCUGAUGGGGGAUUUCAACUACCUGGAUAUCUGCUGGGAUGGUGACAUGGCAGGCAGCAGACAAUCCAGGAGAUUCCUGGAGUCUGUCGAGGACAACUUCCUGGUCCAGGUAAUAGAUGGACCUAUCCAAGGUGAAGCCUUACUGGACCUGGUGGUCACUAAUGCAGAGGAGAGCAUCAGAGAGGUCAAGAUAGGAGGCAGCCUGGGCUGUAGUGACCAUGCCUUGGUGGAGUUUGUGAUCUGGAAGAAUGUGGGCCUGGCAAAAAGCAGAGCUAGGACCCUGUGCUUUAGGAGAGCAAACAUCCAGCUGCCUGAGAAACUGCUGAGUGGGAUCCCCUGGGAAACUAUCCUUAAGGGCAUGGAUACAGAACAAAGCUGGCAGCUCUUUAAGGACACCCUUUUGAGAGUGCAAUGGCUCUCCAUCCCCCAGCAGAAGAAGUCAAGCAGGGGAGGCAGGCGACCGUUGUGGCUGUGCAAGGACCUGUAGCUUAAACUGAGAGAAAAGAGGGAGAUGUACAGGAAGUGGAAGCAGGGUUGUGUAUCCUGGGAGGAAUGCAGGGCGGUUGUCCCUGUGUGUAGAGAUAGGAUGAGGAAAGCCAAGGCACAGAUGGAGCUGAACUUGGUGAGGGAUGUGAAAGAUAACAAGAAGGGGUUUUACAGAUACCUAGGAAGGAGGAGACAAGCCAAGGAGAGUGUUCCCCUCUGAUGAAAGGUAAUGGGGAGCUGGCUUCCUCAGACAUAGGAAAAGCUGAGGUACUCAAUGAGUGCUUUGCCUCAGUCUUCACAGGUGGUCAGGCUUCCCAUGUCUGCCAGGACCAUGAGGCUCUAGGUGAGGGAGUGGUUUCUGUCCCACUGUAAUGGUGGAACAAGUCCAAGUCCUCCUCAUGAAACUGAAUGUGUAUAAGUCCACGAGGCCGGAUGAUAUCCAUCCUAGGGAUCUGAAAGAGAUGGCUGAUGUGGUUGCUGAGCCACUCUCCAUCAUAUUUGAAAAAUCAUGGCUGUCUGGCGAAGUCCCCGGUGACUGGAAAAAGGGAAACAUUCCUCCCAUUUUUAAGAAAGG